GUUUAGAGUUUUGGACCUGGCUCAGAACGAACGCUGGCGGCAGGCUUAACACAUGCAAGUCGAACGCCCCGCAAGGGGAGUGGCAGACGGGUGAGUAACGCGUGGGAACAUACCCUUUCCUGCGGAAUAGCUCCGGGAAACUGGAAUUAAUACCGCAUACGCCCUACGGGGGAAAGAUUUAUCGGGGAAGGAUUGGCCCGCGUUGGAUUAGCUAGUUGGUGGGGUAAAGGCCUACCAAGGCGACGAUCCAUAGCUGGUCUGAGAGGAUGAUCAGCCACAUUGGGACUGAGACACGGCCCAAACUCCUACGGGAGGCAGCAGUGGGGAAUAUUGGACAAUGGGCGCAAGCCUGAUCCAGCCAUGCCGCGUGAGUGAUGAAGGCCUUAGGGUUGUAAAGCUCUUUCACCGGAGAAGAUAAUGACGGUAUCCGGAGAAGAAGCCCCGGCUAACUCUCAGAGGCUCGGC
rnacentral:rRNA from 1 species